CAACAAAAACAUAUACACACCAAAUGGACCCUAUCUCUCUUCAUUUGUUGAAGAGGAGGGUUUUCUCUCCAAACCCUAAGCGCCGCCUUGAGUUCUUUCUCUCUCUCGCGUCAUCAAUGGCCAAAAAUGACAUGUUUACAGUGUACUACGCUUUAUGCAACUUGUGGUUCAACCAUUUGGGGCAAGCAAUUAAUGCUCGCCUCACUUUUUCCACCAUGUUACAACCAAACGAGGAAACUCUACAACGUGGGCCACUUGGGCCAAGUUCAUUGCGAGCCACAGUGUUGGCCAGAGGCCGAACAUCUUUUUUUCCACAGAGUCCGGAUAGAAUCUUUGAAGGCCCAAUCAUGGGUGAAAAUGGUUAACUGGUGGGCUCGGUAGGCCCACCAGCCGAAUUUCCUCUUUAUUUUCGCUUAUGUAUGUAUAUGUAUUUGUAAAAUAAUGAUGGUAAAUAUUGAAAACCAAAUGGUUAGAACUUAGGCAUCUUAGGUAAACGAUGCCUAUAUAAUUUAGAAUGGAUAGGAACCCAAACACACUUGCAAUUAGGACCCAUCCAAAAGAUAAGUGAUUAUAACUUUAUAUUUUUGAAAUAAUAAUUACAAAAAAAAAGUGGUUCCUUUUGUGUGAAAACAAAAACGAUAUAUAUAUAUAUAUAUAUAUAUAUAUAGAGAGAGAGAGAGAGGGAGAGGGAGAGUAGGAUGUUACACAUGUUUGAAAAGGAACUGAUAUUUUUGAUUUGAAAAUUUUGAAGGAUGAACUGUUUUCUUUAGCAAAGAAGAGACAUAAACAUUUUUAUCCAAUUAGAGAAUUUAUGAAACGAAACAAAAAGAUAGUGGUUGGAAGAGAAGCUUUUGGACAAGUUCAAUUAAUUUUCUAAAACCUUUUUGGUCUAAACCCACUCAGUGAGAUAAAACAAAGGGAAAAUCAUUUAGACUUUAGUUUGAGGAAAGGAUUGAACGGGGUAUGGUUGGCAUUCAAUGUAAGUAAUGGAUAAAUGACUCGUAUUCAAAAGAGAUACUUUUUUCAAAAAACAUGUAUAAAUUACGUGGCAUUUUUUUUUUUACAAAAAGACAUAUACUUGGAACUCUUUUUCAAGGACAAAAGGGACAUAACAUAUGGACCAAAAAUAAGUUGAACUCUACUCAACGGAAAUCUUGGGUGUGAUUUGGUUCGAAAAUAAAAUGACAACUUUAAACCUUGUAUGCUUAUUUUCCAAGGAAAAAUCUGACUCUUUUCAUCUAUAACAAAAUCUAACUCGUAUGUAUAUUUGGUUCGGUUCUCAAUGCACUCGGAUGUAUUUUGGGACUUGGGUUGGGAAGUUAAAGUUGAGGUAUCGGGGGUUAACUCAGUCAACGUAACCUCUAUUCGGAAUUUUGAGGCCACGAGCGUGUUUUUAUGUGUGUCUGUGUAUGUGGUUUGUGAGCAGAUGGCCUCGGGAGUUAGUCGGAAGUUCGGGUUGAGUUGUGAAAUAGGAAUAGUUUUUUGGUGUCUGUUGCCUGCCUUGGUGGCACCAGCAUCGCAGCAGCGGUGUCGCUAUAGCAGUCACCCUACCGCUGAAGCGGUUUGUGCCGUUUAGGCAUGACCGCUGGAGCAGUAAUAUUGUCGCAGAAGCGGGUGACAGGCAGUUAGUUCAUUAAAUAAAGUGUUAAAUGCCUUAAGUCCCUCAUUUAUUACCAUUCCGAAAAUUGAGCUCUUGGGAACUAUUCUACAGGAUUAUUGGAGAAGAUUCAUGCUGAAUUCCAGGUUGGAUCUACCUCCGUCUCUCGUAGCUGAUAGUCACUAUCAAGACUGCUUAGAGUCUACAGGGUGAGCACGAGAUGUCCGCUACCUUGAAGAUUUCUCUUAAUUAUGUCUUACUUUCCAUUCUGAGACAUAUCCAGGCUUGAUGUAUUCUUAUAUUCUAGACUUGUAUAUUUCUAGCUAGUUGCUCUUGUAUGGAUUAGACCAGAAUUUAGGGUGUAUUUUCUUAUUUUCGCUCUUAUUCUAUAUUAUUAUCGUCAGA